UACGAAGGGGGCUAGCGUUGUUCGGAAUUACUGGGCGUAAAGCGCACGUAGGCGGAUAUUUAAGUCAGGGGUGAAAUCCCAGAGCUCAACUCUGGAACUGCCUUUGAUACUGGGUAUCUUGAGUAUGGAAGAGGUAAGUGGAAUUGCGAGUGUAGAGGUGAAAUUCGUAGAUAUUCGCAAGAACACCAGUGGCGAAGGCGGCUCACUGGCCCGAUACUGACGCUGAGGCACGAAAGCGUGGGGAGCAAACAGG
rnacentral:rRNA from 1 species